rnacentral:rRNA from 1 species
GACGAACGCUGGCGGCGUGCCUAAUACAUGCAAGUAGAACGCACAGUUUAUACCGUAGCUUGCUCCACCAUAGACUGUGAGUUGCGAACGGGUGAGUAACGCGUAGGUAACCUGCCUGGUAGCGGGGGAUAACUAUUGGAAACGAUAGCUAAUACCGCUUAAUAUUAAUUAUUGCAUGAUAAUUAAUUGAAAGGUGCAAUUGCACCACUACCAGAUGGACCUGCGUUGUAUUAGCUAGUAGGUGAGGUAACGGCUCACCUAGGCGACGAUACAUAGCCGACCUGAGAGGGUGAUCGGCCACACUGGGACUGAGACACGGCCCAGACUCCUACGGGAGGCAGCAGUAGGGAAUCUUCGGCAAUGGACGAAAGUCUGACCGAGCAACGCCGCGUGAGUGAAGAAGGUUUUCGGAUCGUAAAGCUCUGUUGUAAGAGAAGAACGGGUGUGAGAGUGGAAAGUUCACACUGUGACGGUAUCUUACCAGAAAGGGACGGCUAACUACGUG